rnacentral:rRNA from 1 species
GCAAGGCCUCGCGCGAUUGGAUGAGCCGACGUCGGAUUAGCUAGUUGGCGGGGUAAAGGCCCACCAAGGCGACGAUCCGUAGCUGGUCUGAGAGGAUGAUCAGCCACACUGGAACUGAGACACGGUCCAGACUCCUACGGGAGGCAGCAGUGGGGAAUAUUGGACAAUGGGCGCAAGCCUGAUCCAGCAAUGCCGCGUGUGUGAAGAAGGCCUUCGGGUUGUAAAGCACUUUAUCAGGAACGAAAAGCGUUGGAUUAAUACUCUGACGUGCUGACGGUACCUGAGGAAUAAGCACCGGCUAACUUCGUG